rnacentral:rRNA from 1 species
AUUGAACGCUGGCGGCAUGCCUUACACAUGCAAGUCGAACGGCAGCACGGGGGCAACCCUGGUGGCGAGUGGCGAACGGGUGAGCAAAGCGUCGGAACGUACCCGGAAGUGGGGGAUAACGUAGCGAAAGUUACGCUAAUACCGCAUACGCCCUGAGGGGGAAAGCGGGGGAUCGUAAGACCUCGCGUUAUUGGAGCGGCCGAUAUCUGAUUAGCUAGUUGGUGGGGUAAAGGCCCACCAAGGCGACGAUCAGUAGCUGGUCUGAGAGGACGACCAGCCACACUGGAACUGAGACACGGUCCAGACUCCUACGGGAGGCAGCAGUGGGGAAUUUUGGACAAUGGGGGCAACCCUGAUCCAGCCAUUCCGCGUGAGUGAAGAAGGCCUUCGGGUUGUAAAGCUCUUUCGUAAGGAAAGAAAACUUACCCAAUAACACUGGGUGAGGCUGACGGUACCUUGAUAAGAAGCACCGGCUAACUACGUGCCAGCAGCCGCCGUAA